UGCAAGUCGAGCGAGAAGGUUCCCUUCGGGGGACUGGACAGCGGCAAACGGCGUAGUAAUGCGUAGGUUACGUACCCUCGGGACCGGGACAGCCACGGGAAACUGUGGGUAAUACCGGAUAAUCUCUCCGGAGCAAAUGGUGUGAUUCCGCCCGAGGAGCGGCUUAUGUGAUAUUAGCUUGUUGGUGGGGUAAUGGCCUACCAAGGCUCAGAUGUCUAGGGGGUGUGAGAGCAUGGCCCCCACGACCGGGACUGAGACACUGCCCGGACACCUACGGGUGGCUGCAGUCGAGAAUCUUCCGCAAUGGGCGCAAGCCCGACGGAGCGACGCCGCGUGCGGGACGAAGGCCCUUGGGUUGUAAACCGCUGUCAGAGGGGAUGAAAUGCAGGUGGGUUAUCCCUCCUGUUUGACAGAGCCUCAGAGGAAGCACGGGCUAAGUACGUGCCAGCAGCCGCGGUAACACGUACUGUGCGAACGUUAUUCGGAAUCACUGGGCUUAAAGGGUCCGUAGGCGGCUUUGCAAGUCAGGUGUGAAAUCUCACGGCUCAACCGUGAAACUGCGCUUGAAACUGCAUCGCUUGAGUAUCCUAGGGGUGAGCGGAACUGCCAGUGGAGCGGUGAAAUGUGUUGAUAUUGGCAGGAACACCUGUGGCGAAGGCGGCUCACUGGGGGAUAACUGACGCUGAGGGACGAAAGCCAGGGUAGCGAACGGGAUUAGAUACCCCGGUAGUUCUGGCUGUAAACACUGAGCACUAGUUGGGAGGGGGUUCGCCCCAUCCUGACGCAGCGAAAGCAUUAAGUGCUCCGCCUGGGGAGUAUGGUCGCAAGGC
rnacentral:rRNA from 1 species